rnacentral:rRNA from 1 species
UAGGGAAUCUUCGGCAAUGGACGAAAGUCUGACCGAGCAACGCCGCGUGAGUGAAGAAGGUUUUCGGAUCGUAAAACUCUGUUGUUAGAGAAGAACAAGGACGUUAGUAACUGAACGUCCCCUGACGGUAUCUAACCAGAAAGCCACGGCUAACUACGUGCCAGCAGCCGCGGUAAUACGUAGGUGGCAAGCGUUGUCCGGAUUUAUUGGGCGUAAAGCGAGCGCAGGCGGUUUCUUAAGUCUGAUGUGAAAGCCCCCGGCUCAACCGGGGAGGGUCAUUGGAAACUGGGAGACUUGAGUGCAGAAGAGGAGGGUGGAAUUCCAUGUGUAGCGGUGAAAUGCGUAGAUAUAAGGAGGAACACCAGUGGCGAAGGCGGCUCUCUGGUCUGUAACUGACGCUGAGGCUCGAAAGCGUGGGGAGCAAACAGG